UACAGAGGGGGCAAGCGUUGUUCGGAAUUACUGGGCGUAAAGGGCGCGUAGGCGGCCUGCUAAGUCGAACGUGAAAUCCCUGGGCUCAACCCAGGAACUGCGUCCGAUACUGGCAGGCUUGAAUCCGGGAGAGGGAUGCGGAAUUCCAGGUGUAGCGGUGAAAUGCGUAGAUAUCUGGAGGAACACCGGUGGCGAAGGCGGCAUCCUGGACCGGCAUUGACGCUGAGGCGCGAAAGCUAGGGGAGCAAACGGGG
rnacentral:rRNA from 1 species